rnacentral:tRNA from 1 species
GGACAGGUGGCUGAGUGGUCGAAAGCAGCAGUCUUGAAAACUGCCGAGCGUGCAAGCGUUCCGUGGGUUCGAAUCCCACCUUGUCCGCCA